AGGAGGUUCAUCUACCUGAGGACAAAGACAGAUCUAUUGUCUGGGAUCCAACUCUGCACAGAUGGGUUAACAAAACUGAGCCCAAGGCUGAGAACAAGUGUGUACCACCACCUCCACCGAUGGGGACAUAUGGAUAUCAGGGGAACACUGGC